UGGGGAAUAUUGCACAAUGGGCGGAAGCCUGAUGCAGCGACGCCGCGUGGGGGAUGAAGGCCUUCGGGUUGUAAACUCCUUUCGACAGGGACGAAGCGUAAGUGACGGUACCUGUAUAAGAAGCACCGGCUAACUACGUGCCAGCAGCCGCGGUAAUACGUAGGGUGCGAGCGUUGUCCGGAAUUACUGGGUGUAAAGAGCUCGUAGGUGGUUUGUCGCGUCGUCUGUGAAAUUCCGGGGCUUAACUCCGGGCGUGCAGGCGAUACGGGCUGACUUGAGUGCUGUAGGGGAGACUGGAAUUCCUGGUGUAGCGGUGAAAUGCGCAGAUAUCAGGAGGAAUACCGAUGGCGAAGGCAGGUCUCUGGGCAGUAACUGACGCUGAGGAGCGAAAGCAUGGGUAGCGAACAGGAUUAGAUACCCUGGUAGUCCAUGCCGUAAACGGUGGGCGCUAGGUGUAGGGGGCUUCCACGUCUUCUGUGCCGUAGCUAACGCAUUAAGCGCCCCGCCUGGGGAGUACGGCCGCAAGGCUA
rnacentral:rRNA from 1 species